UUAUAUCGUGGAACGUCCCGACGACGAUUAAAGGCGGUCCGGGUGCCUCCGACGAAGCCUCCACGGCCUCGCUGCAGUCGUUUGCUUUUCCGUCCACCUUGGCGAGGGCGACCGAGAGAGAGUCCAUGGAAUCAUCCUUCUGCUCCUCUCGUUGCUCGAAAUCCUAAUCCCACUCCCUCGAUCCCGAUGGAUUCCGCCCAGGAGAAGGAGAUCUCGUUGCUCUCCCGAGUCAUCGCGAACCAUCUCUUCCUCGGCCAGUUCGAAGCCUUCAGAGCGUUGCUCCUCAGCCUCCGGAAGCGUAAGCCGGAGCUCGCCCUCGAGAUCCUUCGCGCCGUUGUAUCGAAAGGAGGGCGCAUCGAUGGCGUCCUCUGGUCAAACACCUGCGGCUCCCCCUCGCAUCUGGCCUGGCUUUCCGUCCUUGAGCUCAUCAAGUUCGGGAACGCAGCGGCUUCUAUCGGAAGCAUUGACCCGGAGACUCUCCGCUUAAGGGCGGAGUUCCUUCUCUUGAUUCAGGUUGCCUCCUCCAAGGUAUCCGAAAUCUCCCAACUUAGAUCUCAGGAUACCGACGUCGACAAGAAAGGGGAAACAUUUGAUGAAACCGCAAACUCUGUGGAAGUGUUGAACGAUCUCCUCGAUACUGGCUUACGUAUAUUAUGGAGUGAUGUAGGGCAUGAUGCCAACCUUCUUGAUUUGGUUUCUUUGGUGUCUGAGGAUAGGUUGAAGGGUUUGUGGAAGGUUUUCCUCGACAACGCAGAACUUUUUGAUGCGAUAUGUGGAAACAUUCAUCGGCAGGUGCAGCUUUGUCAGGCUUACCAUUUGGAACCAGCAAUCAGCGUGAAAACUGAGGAGAUGAAUGCACUAUCUAAGGUGCAGCAGAGUGUUCAGAUGGCACAUUUGGAUUCUUUGAAGAAAUUCAUGGAAGCUGAUGAUUUAGAGAGAGCUUUUUCUCAUCUUCGGUUUCUUCAUCUAGAUUAUGGCAUAGAGGAAAAGCAGUACGAGAGGGUUUUGCAUGAUCUUGUCAAGAAAGCUUCGUUGCAAAGUGCUUUUUAUGAUAAGUCAUGGCUUGAUUCACAGAAUAUAACGAUGUUGAUGUAUGCUGCAGCUCUUUCAUCCAACUGCAGUCAGCUUGUGCAGAUGAUUCAGGCAAUUCAAGAUGAAGUGGUUUCUGAGGAGAUUGAGCUGCACAGAAUUUCUGAUGCUAAUUCAAUUCCUCUCCCCCUUAAGAAAUAUCUGGAAACACUGUCCUCGGAAAGUGUUGAUAUCUUGGAUGGCAAAACUCCUUCAAGCAUGGCAAUAAAAUCUUGCAUGAGAGACCUCUACCAUUAUGCACGAAUAUCUGGAAUACAUGUCCUAGAAUGUAUUGUGGAUACAGCUCUAUCUGCAAUUAAGAGGGAACAUCUUCAAGAGGCUGGUCAUGUCCUGUCACUGUUUCCCCUUCUUCAGCCACUUGUAGCUGUCUUAGGGUGGGAUCGCUUGUCAGGGAAGACAGCACUGAGAAGAAGAUUAAUGCAGCUACUUUGGACAAGUAAAUCUCAGGUACUAAGGCUGGAAGAAUUUCCUGUUUACAAGAAGCAAUCUGAUGAGAUAUUAUGUGUGGAGUAUCUCUGUGAUGUGUUAUGUUUUCAUCUGGAUAUUGCUUCCUAUGUUGCAUGUGUCAACUCCGGUCGGUCUUGGAAUUCAAAAAAAUCGUUGCUCUUUUCUCAAAGAGAUAAUGUUGCAGAUGAAAAUGACAGUGGAGUUUUAGAUCCUUUUGUUGAAAACUUCAUACUUGAAAGAUUGGCUGCUCAAUCUCCCAUGAGGGUUUUGUUUGAUGUAGUCCCAGGGAUAAAGUUUCAAGACGCAAUUGAGCUUCUUAGCAUGCAACCCAUUUCUUCAACUUCUGCAGCAUGGAAACGGAUGCAAGAUAUUGAACUUUUGCACAUGCGUUAUGUUCUUGAGUCAGCUAUUUUUGCUCUAGGAAUCAUGGAGAGGUGUGCUGCUGUUGUAAAUAACCCCCAACUACAUGUAGCUAUGUCAUACUUGAAAGACAUGCAAAAUCAUAUGGAGGCUAUCAGAAAUGUUCCUCGCAGAAUCUUUAUGGUUAGCAUUGUAAUAUCAUUACUGUAUUUGGAUGAGAUAUCUGCCAAUCUGCCACCAAACUUGUCUGAAAGUUGUUCUGGACAUUCAGAACAUCUUCCUCAUAAAACUUCAUGUGAUGGUGGAAACAAGAACUUAAUUUCUUUUAUGGGAUUGCUACUUGAGAUAUUGCGUCGAAAUCUGCCUGUAGCAGUCACUGAAGUGGGGAAUCUGUUGAAUAGUACUGUGGAAACUGCAGGAAGACAAGUUUUGGAAUGGAGAAUUGCUAAAUCUCUACAUUUCAUUGAAGAUUGGGAAUGGCGUUUAUCUAUACUUGAUCGCCUUCAACCAUUAUCAGAAUGCCAAUGGGGUUGGAAAGAGGCAUUGGUUAUUUUUCGUGCUGCUCCUUCCAAAUUGUUAAAUCUUUGCAUGCAAAGGGCGAAGUAUGAUAUAGGGGAAGAGGCUGUGCGACGAUUUUCUUUGCCUCCCGAAGAUAAAGCAGUUCUUGAACUUGCAGAAUGGGUAGCUGGCGCUUUUAGAAGAGCAUCGAUUGAAGAUGCAGUAUCUCGUGUUGCCGAGGGAAGAGCAAAUGCAUUUCAGAAGUUGGAUAUUUCAUCCUUGCGUAGUCAGCUAGGUUCUUUGGCUGCUAUUCUUCUCUGCAUUGAUGUUUCAGCAACUUCUGCUAAGUCUGUGGAUAUGUGCAAAUUGCUUCUUGACCAGGCUAGGAGUGUGUUAUCCGAGAUCUUUCCUGGAAACUCUCCAAAGAUAGGUUCUACUUAUUGGGAUCAGAUACAAGAAGUUGCCACCAUAUCAAUAACAAGGCACGUCCUUCAACGUUUGUAUGAUCUGUUGGAGCAGGAAAAAUCUUUGACCCUUCAGGAAAUUCUUGCUGAAGAAAUUACUAUUUCUCAAUCAAAUGAACCUAGCAAACAAGGACAAAGGCAAAGGGCUAUUGUGAUCUUACACCAAAUGAUUGAUGAUGCUCAUCAAGGAAAGAGGCAAUUUUUAAGUGGUAAGCUCCAUAAUCUUGCGAAAGCUCUUGCUAUCGAAGAAGCAGAGAGUAAUUAUCUAAAAGGAAAAGGUUCCUAUGACAGCAAAAGAGCUCUUUUGUAUUCUGAGAAGGGUGCAAUCGUUGGGCUUGGUCUUAAAACUCCAAAAUCAUCAUCAGUGAAUCCAGAAAACGCUGAAAGUACUCCAGAGAUUUUUGAUUAUGAAAUGAAAGAUUCUGGGAAAAGGUUUUUUGGCCCUGUCACUUCCAAGCCAUCUACAUAUCUUUCAGCCUUUAUAAUCUAUAUUGCAACAAUUGGUGACAUAGUUGAUGGAGUUGACACAACUCAUGAUUUCAACUUUUUCUCACUUAUAUACGAGUGGCCCAAAGAUCUUCUUACUCGUCUAGUAUUUGAGAGAGGGAGCACUGAUGCAGCUGGAAAGAUAGCUGAUAUCAUGGGUGUGGAUUUUGUGCAUGAAGUUAUAUCAGCUUGUGUGCCACCAGUUUUUCCUCCACGUUCGGGUCAUGGUUGGGCUUGCAUUCCACUGUUACCUACUCUUUCUGGGAUCAGCUUGGAGAAUAAGAUCUCCUCUCCUAAGGCUAGUACUUGUUCAUCCUUCGGAACAUAUGGAAAACCUCUUUAUCCUCUUCAGUUGAGUUUAGUAAAGCAUUUAGCUAAGCUCUCACCAGUAAGGGCAGUUUUAGCAUGUGUUUUUGGAAGUACUAUAUUAUCUAGCAGUAGUGAAUCAUCUGCUUCCAGAACUUCUGAUUCAUAUAUGCAAGCACCCGAUGCUGAGAGGCUAUUCUACGAGUUUGCUCUCGAUCAGUCAGAGAGGUUUCCAACACUCAACCGUUGGAUACAGAUGCAAUCAAACCUUCACAAAAUUUCCCGAUCCGCAAUAGCAUCUAAAAGUGACAUCAAAACUGCUGCAGCUAUAUCUACUGGAAAAGUUCCUGUGAAACGAGUUCGUGAACCUGAAAGUGACACUGAAUCUGAAAUAGAUGAUAUGGUUGCUGGUGGGCAUAAUAGUCCAACUUUAUCAGAGUUCAGUACCCACGGUCAAUCAGUUUCCAGGUCCUGGCAUUCUUCUUCCUCACCUGUGGAUGUUGGAAUUGAUGCUGCAAAUUUUAUUUCAUGUGAUUGGGAGAAUGAAGGGCCCUAUGGAAAAGCUGUCGAGAGGUUAAUUGAUGAAGGGAAACUUCUGGAUGCUCUUGCGUUGUCUGAUCGCUGUUUACGCGAAGGGGCAUCUGAUCAUUUACUUCAGUUGUUGAUUGAACAUGAGGAGGGGAAUAAUCCAGUACUUGGACACCCCCAUAGCUCUGGAGCCUAUAACUUUGGCAGCACCAGUUGGCAGUACUGUUUGCGCCUGAAGGAUAAACUGCUUGCAGCAAGGCUUGCUUUAAAAUACCUACAUAGGUGGGAUUUAGAUCCUGCAAUUGAUGUUCUCACUAUGUGCAUCUGCCACUUGCCUUCUUAUGAACCUUUGCGGAGUGAGGUCUUGCUUAUGAGGAAAGCUCUUCAGAGAUACCGUCACAUUUUAAAUGCUGAUGAGCAUUACAGCACUUGGCAAGAGGUAGAAGAUGAUUGUAAGAAAGAUCCUGAAGGUUUAGCACUAAGAUUAGCUGGUAAAGGGGCUGUUUUUGCUGCUUUAGAAGUUGCUGAAAGUGCAUCUUUAUCUGUCGAGUUGCGUAGAGAACUGCAAGGCCGACAACUUGUUAAAUUACUCACAACAGACCCACUUAGUGGUGGAGGCCCAGCUGAGGCUUCAAGGUUUCUUUCUUCAUUGCGUGACUCAGAUGAUGCCCUACCCGUUGCUGUUGGAGCUAUGCAGCUUUUACCUGACUUGCGCUCUAAGCAGCUUCUUGUGCACUUUUUCUUAAAACGGAGAGUUGGAAACCUUUCAGACACUGAAGUUGCCCAACUUAACUUGUGGGCACUGGGUCUUCGUGUUUUAGCUUUACUGCCAUCGCCAUCCCAGCAACGAUGUUCGGCUUUGCAUGAACAUCCUCAUUUGAUUCUUGAAGUUACAUUGAUGAUGAAGCAGCUACAAUCAGCAUCAUUGAUAUUGAAAGACUUUCCAUCCUUGAGAGAUGACAAUCUAAUACUUGCAUAUGCUGCUAAAGCGAUUACUGUGAAUGUUGGUGCUGCUUAUAGGGAGACCAGGAUCUCCGUUUCAGGGUCUAGAUCAAAGCAAAAAACUAGAUCUGGCACACCAUCCAUGUCAAAUUUUGCAAGCAGUAUUGGUAACUGGCAAAGAGAGGCUCGCCGGGCUUUUUCGUGGACGAAUCGUGAUAAUGCGCCCAAGAUUCCUCCAAAGGAUGUUCAUCGAAAGAGAAAGAGUUCAGGAUUUAUGCAUUCUGAUAGAGUUGCUUGGGAAGCAAUGUCAGGUAUCCAGGAGGAGCGUGCCACAGCAUUCUCUGCUGAUGGACAAGAGAGGCUUCCAUUUGUCUGCAUUGCUGAAGAAUGGGUUCUCACUGGUGACCCAAUUAAGGAUAAUGUUGUUCGUGCUUCUCAUAGAUAUGAAACUUCUCCUGAUAUUACACUUUUCAAGGCAUUGCUUUCUUUGUGCUCUGAUGAGUUGGCCUCUGCCAGAGGUGCUCUGCAAUUAUGUAUUUCUCAGAUGAAGAAUGUGUUAUGCUCCCAACAUCUGCCUCUGAAUGCUUCUAUGGAAACUAUGAGCAAAGCAUAUCAUGCAACAGAAACUUAUGUGCAGGCGUUAGGCUAUGAAAAAAGUCUGUUGAGAAAACUGUCUGGAUCAAGUGAAUUUUCAAGCAACUAUGAUAAAACUCGGGAGACAGAUGAUGCAUCUACAGACACUGCAAGCUCAAGUAGCGGAAGUCAGUAUCCUGAUGAGCUGUCUGAACUUCUCGGACAAGCAGACAUCUGGCUAGGACGUGCAGAGCUUCUUCAGAGUCUUCUUGGAUCAGGAAUAAUUGCUUCUCUUGAUGAUAUUGCUGAUAAGGAAUCUUCAGAACGUCUGCGUGACAGAUUGAUCGUUGAUGAGCGGUACAGCAUGGCUGUAUAUACAUGUAAAAAGUGCAAGAUCGAUGCUUUUCCGGUAUGGAAUGCUUGGGGCCAUGCCUUGAUUCGGAUGGAACACUAUGCUCAAGCACGUGUUAAGUUCAAGCAAGCUCUUCAACUGCAUAAAGGUGAUCCUGCAGCUGUGAUCCUCGACAUCAUUAAUACUGUGGAAGGAGGUCCUCCAGUGGAUGUUCCCUCCAUAAGAUCAAUGUAUGAACACUUGGCUAAAAGUGCACCGACAAUCUUGGAUGAUUCUCUUUCUGCUGAUGCAUACCUUAAUGUUCUGUAUAUGCCAUCGACUUUUCCACGUUCUGAAAGGUCCAGAAGAUCUCAAGAAUCUUCAAAUGGUCCAUCUUUAUAUCCUAUUACUGAUUUUGAAGAUAGUCCUCGCAGUAACCUUGACAACAUCAGAUAUGUUGAAUGCAUUCACUAUUUACAAGAAUAUGCUCGUCCAGAAAUGCUUGCAUUCAUGUUGAAGCAUUGUCACUAUUAUGAUGCUUGCUCGCUGUUCUUUCCACAACAUUCUCUACCUUCACUCUCUCUGCCUUCACCACAUGUGUCGACAGCUCCUUCCUCGUCUCCUCAAAGAGCUGAUCCUUUGGCAACCGACUAUGGAACCAUUGAUGACUUGUGUGAUUUGUGCAUUGGGUAUGGGUGUAUGGUUGUUUUGCAGGAUGUCAUCUCAGAAAGAAUUGCUUCUGCACAUUUAGAAGAUGCAACAGUGAGCCAGUAUAUAUCUGCUGCACUCACUCGUAUAUGCAACUACUGUGAAACACACCGGCAUUUUAAUUAUCUCUACAAGUUUCUGGUUAUUAAGGGUGAUCAUGUUGCUGCUGGUCUAUGUUGUAUUCAAUUAUUCAUGAAUUCUUGCUCUCAAGACGAAGCGAUAAAGCAUUUGGAACAUGCCAAGAUUCAUUUUGAUGAAGGAUUAUCAGCACGACAUAGAGCAGCAGGAGAGGCUACUAGAGUGGUUUCCAAGUCUGUUCGUGGAAAGAGUGCCUCUGAAAAACUAAGUGAAGAUGGGCUUGUAAAGUUCUCAGCCCGGGUAGCUAUCCAGGUAGAAGUAGUGAAAUCCCUCAAUGAUUCAGAUGGACCUCAGUGGAAGCAUUCUCUAUUUGGAAAUCCAAGUGAACCUGAAACUUUUAGGAGAAGGUGCUUAAUCGCUGAGGCACUUGCUGAAAAGCAUUUUGACUUGGCUUUCCAAGUUAUUUAUGAAUUUAACCUCCCGGCUGUUGACAUCUAUGCUGGUGUGGCAGCAUCCCUUGCAGAGAGAAAAAAGGGCGGUCAAUUAACAGAGCUCUUGAAGAAUAUAAAGGGCACAAUAGAUGAAGAUGAUUGGGACCAGGUUCUUGGAGCUGCCAUCAACGUAUAUGCUAACAAGCACAAAGAACGGCCUGAUCGGCUCAUAGACAUGCUAAUUAGCAGUCACAGGAAAGUUUUAGCUUGCGUUGUUUGUGGCCGUCUAAAGAGUGCUUUCCAGAUAGCUUCCCGAAGUGGAAGUGUUGCUGACGUUGAAUAUGUUGCACAUCAGGCAUCAGUUGCAAAUGCACUGCCCGUGGUUGACAUGUGCAGACAGUGGUUGUCAAAGUACAAAUUUGGCGUCUAGCUCCUGGAAGUAAACACAAGGUUUUCUGUGUGUUUCCAGGAUGUCAUUAACUUGGUGGAAAAGAUGGUUGCAUGAUCGACAAAUGUUAAGGAAACAAGAAGUUAUUGAAGAACCAUAAUAAAGGAGGGUGGGGCAGACUUUCUGGACCGAGAUUCUAUUCGAGUGUUUAUUUUUGCAGGUUGUAAAUUCUUGUAAGACAUGAAUAGCUGUUGUAAUGGCUAAUGGCUCGUAUCUGUAUCAAUUGCAGGAGGGUGGGGCAGACUUUCUGGUCCGAGAUUCUAAUGGUGUUUUUAUUUUUGCAGGUUGUAAAUUCUUGUAAGACAUGAAUAGCUGUUAUAAUGGGUUGGCUGCUAUUAAGGAGCGACUGUUUCAAGCCAAACAAGGUGGAAUCAGAAGUGAUAAGCUGAAGCUUCCUUUGAGGAUGCACGAGUUACUGAUAUCCAAAACUUAGGAUGUACAAAUUACUUUGGUAAUGUAUUAUCUUUUCUUAAGACAGGUGUUUCGCUAAAAAUUAUGUGACACUCAAUCCAUAGCUUUGAAAUUAUAUGAAACUAAACCUAGACUCAAAUAACACUCGUCUUGUAUCUCA